AUCGAAGCGGUCAUAACGGGGCUGACUCGAAAUCAGUUUGAGGGAAACCUCACGUGGGUUCGAAUCCCACC
rnacentral:tRNA from 1 species